GUUUUAGGCCCAGGGUGUGCCGUUUGCUAUCAGUAGCCAUUGUGAUGGGCUAAUCGUGAGAAUAUAAGUGGAUGGAUGGAAUUAAAGGAAACUCUGUGCUACAAAAGGCACUUGAUGAGAUGUCCUCCAGGAUUUCAUCCUCUUCAGGAAGAAGCAUUCCAGCCGGUCCCUGUUAAACGAUUCCUGGCAUGCUAAUGCACGGCAGACGGUAAUGGAGAGCCUAAUCAGAUCUGGGGAGCUCAAAAUCACUGGAGCGGUGGCAGACUGUCCACUUCCAUCCCAGAGGUGGCUGCAUUCCAGUGAGGAGUGGAUUGAUCUCUGUGUAUAUAAUGGCCCUGCCCUAUGCUGCAUUGUAUAGAGCAUGAGCCCCCUCUCAAAAGACCGAAAGGGUUACUGAAAGCAGACACUGGAAAUGGACUGAAAAUUCCGAGGGCAUAUCACGAAUUUCUAUCGGCAAAAGGAGGCCGAGGAGAGGCUGCAAAAUAAAUAAUCACCCCAGUCCGAGCUGCAGUAGA